rnacentral:rRNA from 1 species
GGCUUAGAGUUUGAUCCUGGCUCAGAAUGAACGCUGGCGGCGUGCUUAACACAUGCAAGUCGCACGAGAACUCUUCUGCUUGCAGAAGAUAGUAAAGUGGCGCACGGGUGAGUAACGCGUGGGUAAUCUACCUCUGAAUUGGGGAUAACAUUGUGAAAGCGAUGCUAAUACCGAAUAAUAUCCCGAGAACUUAGGCUUUUGGGAUCAAAGGUGGCCUCUACAUGUAAGCUACUGUUUAGAGAUGAGCCCGCGUACCAUUAGCUUGUUGGUAGGGUAAUGGCCUACCAAGGCAACGAUGGUUAGCUGGUCUGAGAGGAUGAUCAGCCACACUGGAACUGACACACGGUCCAGACUCCUACGGGAGGCAGCAGUGAGGAAUUUUGCGCAAUGGGGGAAACCCUGACGCAGCAACGCCGCGUGAGUGAUGAAGGCUUUCGAGUCGUAAAGCUCUGUCAAGUGAGAAGAACCUACUUUUUGUUAAUACCAUUAAGUACUGACGGUAUCACUGAAGGAAGCACCGGCUAACUCCGUGCCAGCAGCCGCGGUAAUACGGAGGGUGCAAGCGUUAUUCGGAAUUAUUGGGCGUAAAGGGCGCGUAGGCGGUCUUUUAAGUCAGACGUGAAAGCCCGGGGCUCAACCCCGGAAGUGCAUUUGAAACUAAUGGACUUGAGUAUGGGAGAGGGAAGUGGAAUUCCUGGUGUAGAGGUGAAAUUCGUAGAUAUCAGAUAGAACACCAAUGGCGAAGGCAGUUGCCUGGCUCAAUACUGACGCUAAAGUACGAAAGUAUGGGGAGCAAAC